rnacentral:rRNA from 1 species
CCUACGGGGAGCAGCAGUGAGGAAUAUUGGUCAAUGGGCGCGAGCCUGAUCCAGCCAAGUAGCGUGAAGGAUGACUGCCCUACGGGUUGUAAACUUCUUUUAUAAAGGAAUAAAGUGAGGCACGUGUGCCUUUUUGUAUGUACUUUAUGAAUAAGGAUCGGCUAACUCCGUGCCAGCAGCCGCGGUAAUACGGAGGAUCCGAGCGUUAUCCGGAUUUAUUGGGUUUAAAGGGAGCGUAGAUGGGUUGUUAAGUCAGUUGUGAAAGUUUGCGGCUCAACCGUAAAAUUGCAAUUGAUACUGGCAGUCUUGAGUACAGUUGAGGUAGGCGGAAUUCGUGGUGUAGCGGUGAAAUGCUUAGAUAUCACGAAGAACUCCGAUUGCGAAGGCAGCUUACUAAACUGCCACUGACAUUGAUGCUCGAAAGUGUGGGUAUCAAACAGGAUUAGAUACCCCGGUAGUC